CAAGUUUCAGUUGCUGUAUUGGGUGCUGAGGAUAUGAUGGAAACCAAAACCAAAACCAAACCCCAAACCAUAUCAAAUGAGGGAGAGAGUGAGAGACCAUGAGCACACAUACAAGCGUGUGGGCGAGCCAUCAAAGAUGAAAAGGGAAAGAAGAAAGCAAGUAAUACAAGAUUCACAGUUUCUAGGGGUAGAAUAGAACUCAUUCUCUUCUAUGCAACUGACAGGAAUUCAUUCUCUUCAGUUUGGAGCCAACUGAAUUGAUUAGGGAUAUCCUCCUCUAGGAUCUGGAAAUCAUCUCUUUGAAAUGUAAUUGGUAAGGAAGAUAGUACUCCUAUAUCCCAGUUUCUGUGGGCAGAUAGGAGGAGCCCAACCUUGGCCACGUUGCAGAACUACCUCCUGUCAUUAAGCCUUUGAAAAUAAAGCAGUUUUCCACGAUACACUGUUGGCAUCCUGCUGAGAACAAGUGUGUAUUGAGAAUGAAAAACAUGCCAAACAUCAGGAAAGUUGCCCUAUGUCAGAAUCUUGAGCCUUUUGAAAUUGAAAUAUGAAAUUAAUUGAUUCACAAAUAUUCUAUAUGUGCCAACAGAAUUAAAGGAUCAUGAUUAAUUUCUUGAAGUCAGAUUCACCUGCUGACCUUUAUAUAAGUAUAUGAAGAGGAUGCUACCUGCUGUCCUUCCUUGCUAGA